UACAGAGGUCUCAAGCGUUGUUCGGAUUCAUUGGGCGUAAAGGGUGCGUAGGUGGCGCUGUAAGUCGGGUGUGAAAUUUCGGAGCUUAACUCCGAAACUGCAUUCGAUACUGCGGUGCUUGAGGACUGGAGAGGAGACUAGAAUUCAUGGUGUAGCAGUGAAAUGCGUAGAGAUCAUGAGGAAGACCAGUGGCGAAGGCGGGUCUCUGGACAGUUCCUGACACUGAGGCACGAAGGCCAGGGGAGCAAACGGG
rnacentral:rRNA from 1 species